rnacentral:rRNA from 1 species
GACGAACGCUGGCGGCGUGCCUAAUACAUGCAAGUCGAGCGAGUCUGCCUUGAAGAUCGGAGUGCUUGCACUCUGUGAAACAAGAUACAGGCUAGCGGCGGACGGGUGAGUAACACGUGGGUAACCUGCCCAAGAGAUCGGGAUAACACCUGGAAACAGAUGCUAAUACCGGAUAACAACAGAUGAUGCCUAUCAACUGUUUAAAAGAUGGUUCUGCUAUCACUCUUGGAUGGACCUGCGGUGCAUUAGCUAGUUGGUAGGGUAACGGCCUACCAAGGCGAUGAUGCAUAGCCGGUGUGAGAGACUGAUCGGCCACAGUGGAACGGAGACACGGCCCAAACUCCUACGGGAGGCAGCAGUGGGGAAUAUUCCACAAUGGACGCAAGUCUGAUGGAGCAACGCCGGGUGAGUGAAGAAGGGUUUCGGCUUGUAAAGCUCUUUUGUUGGGAAAGAAGAGCAGGGGGGGUAUCUGACGUUUUUUUGACGGUAUCAAAUGAAAAAGCCACGGCUAACUCCGUG